UACGUAGGGGGCAAGCGUUGUCCGGAAUCAUUGGGCGUAAAGAGCGUGUAGGCGGUUCGGUAAGUCCGUCGUGAAAGUCCAGGGCUCAACCCUGGAAAGCCGAUGGAUACUGCCGGACUAGAGUCCGGAAGAGGCGAGUGGAAUUCCUGGUGUAGCGGUGAAAUGCGUAGAUAUCCGGAGGAACACCAGGGGCGAAAGCGGCCGACUGGUCGAGUACUGACGCUGAGGCGCGACGGCGUGGGGAGCAAACCGG
rnacentral:rRNA from 1 species